AUUGAACGCUGGCGGCAUGCUUUACACAUGCAAGUCGAACGGUAACAGGCCGCAAGGUGCUGACGAGUGGCGAACGGGUGAGUAAUGCAUCGGAACGUGCCCAGUCGUGGGGGAUAACUACUCGAAAGAGUAGCUAAUACCGCAUACGAUCUAUGGAUGAAAGCGGGGGACCGGAAGGCCUCGCGCGAUUGGAGCGGCCGAUGUCAGAUUGGGUAGUUGGUGGGGUAAAGGCUCACCAAGCCAACGAUCUGUAGCUGGUCUGAGAGGACGACCAGCCACACUGGGACUGAGCCACGGCCCAGACUCCUACGGGAGGCAGCAGUGGGGAAUUUUGGACAAUGGGCGCAAGCCUGAUCCAGCAAUGCCGCGUGCAGGAAGAAGGCCUUCGGGUUGUAAACUGCUUUUGUACGGAACGAAACGGCUCUGGUUAAUACCCGGGGCUAAUGACGGUACCGUAAGAAUAAGCACCGGCUAACUACGUG
rnacentral:rRNA from 1 species